GGGCGAUUAGCUCAGUUGGUUAGAGCGCAUCGUUGACGUCGAUGAGGUCAGUGGUUCGACUCCACUAUCGCCCACCA
rnacentral:tRNA from 1 species